AGCUUUGCGCAGUGGAAGAAAUUGUCACCAGUGAGGUUUAUCUGAGGUGUGAUCAUUGCUAAUUGAAAACUUCCCAGUACCCCACCAAGACAACUUGAAAUAUAGUACCAGUGCCCAAAAGUCAUAUAAUCAGCUUUUCACAUAAUAGAAUAGUUAAUUACAUUUUAAUAUUAAUAAAAUAUUCACGGAU
ensembl:snRNA U4 U4 spliceosomal RNA